rnacentral:rRNA from 1 species
GACGAACGCUGGCGGCGUGCUUAACACAUGCAAGUCGAACGAAGAGCGAUGGAAGCUUGCUUCUAUCAAUCUUAGUGGCGAACGGGUGAGUAACGCGUAAUCAACCUGCCCUUCAGAGGGGGACAACAGUUGGAAACGACUGCUAAUACCGCAUACGAUCUAAUCUCGGCAUCGAGGAUAGAUGAAAGGUGGCCUCUACAUGUAAGCUAUCACUGAAGGAGGGGAUUGCGUCUGAUUAGCUAGUUGGAGGGGUAACGGCCCACCAAGGCGAUGAUCAGUAGCCGGUCUGAGAGGAUGAACGGCCACAUUGGGACGGAGACACGGCCCAGACUCCUACGGGAGGCAGCAGUGGGGAAUCUUCCGCAAUAGACGAAAGUCUGACGGAGCAACGCCGCGUGAGUGAUGACGGCCUUCGGGUUGUAAAGCUCUGUUAAUCGGGACGAAAGGCCUUCUUGCGAAUAGUGAGAAGGAUUGACGGUACCGGAAUAGAAAGCCACGGCUAACUACGUG